rnacentral:tRNA from 1 species
GGUGGGGUAGCUCAGCGGUUAGAGCAGAGGUUUUACAUACCUCGGGUCGGGGGUUCGAUUCCCUCCCUCACCACCA